CAGUUGCGGUCUGCUUACCAUGCAGUCGAACGGGUGUAGGAAUACAUUAGUGGCGGACGGGUGAGUAACGCGUGAGAAUCUGGCUUUAGGUUCGGGACAACCACUGGAAACGGUGGCUAAUACCGGAUGUGCCUUCAACGGUAAAAGGUUAACUGCCUGAAGAUGAGCUCGCGUCUGAUUAGCUAGUUGGUGUGGUAAGAGCGCACCAAGGCGACGAUCAGUAGCUGGUCUGAGAGGAUGAUCAGCCACACUGGGACUGAGACACGGCCCAGACUCCUACGGGAGGCAGCAGUGGGGAAUUUUCCGCAAUGGGCGAAAGCCUGACGGAGCAAGACCGCGUGAGGGAGGAAGGCUCUUGGGUCGUAAACCUCUUUUCUCUGGGAAUAAGAAAGUGAAGGUACCAGAGGAAUCAGCAUCGGCUAACUCCGUGCCAGCAGCCGCGGUAAUACGGAGGAUGCAAGCGUUAUCCGGAAUGAUUGGGCGUAAAGAGUCCGUAGGUGGCGAUUCAAGUCGAUUGUUAAAGAGCGGGGCUUAACCCCGUAGAAGCAGUGGAAACUGAAUCGCUAGAGAGAGGUAGGGGUAGAGGGAAUUCCCGGUGUAGCGGUGAAAUGCGUAGAGAUCGGGAAGAACACCAGUGGCGAAGGCGCUCUACUGGGCCUCAUCUGACACUGAGGGACGAAAGCUAGGGGAGCGAAAGGGAUUAGAUACCCCUGUAGUCCUAGCCGUAAACGAUGGAUACUAGGUGUUGUCUGUAUCGACCCGGACAGUGCCGUAGCUAACGCGUUAAGUAUCCCGCCUGGGGAGUACGCACGCAAGUGUGAAACUCAAAGGAAUUGACGG
rnacentral:rRNA from 1 species